CUCUAUUGCCUGGCUUCAGGCAGCCUGAUAACCUCUUUCCUUCACCCUUAGUUCUGAUCAAUGAAAGUAGGCUUAUCAGAUCUAUGAACCUUGACCUUUGGAGUAAAACAAACAGUGAUGUGUCAGCAACUCAUCCAUGUUGCCCAGGAUGCCAAACGGAACACUUGGGAGCUUGUGGUUUCUACAGCAUUUGAGGCAGAGUUUCCAAACCCAGCCCUAGGCGUGUGUGUGUGUGUGUGUGUGUGUGUGUGUGUGUGUGUGUGUGUGCGCGCAGUGGAAGUGUAAAUCAAGACAGAACCUGUAACUGUCCCUGACUCAUCGAAGGUGGAAGAGCUAACGCUUAUGCCCUGUCUGAGAGUAUGUGGGAAAAUGUGCCAACUGCGAGCAUCUACAUGGGAGAUCAUGAAGAAUGUCUAGCUUUUAAUGUCAUUCCAAUGUAAUGUGUCAUGAGAGAAU